UACGUAGGGUGCGAGCGUUGUCCGGAUUUAUUGGGCGUAAAGGGCUCGUAGGCGGCGUGUCGCGUCGGGAGUGAAAGCCCGUUGCUUAACGGCGGGUUGGCUUUCGGUACGGGCAUGCUGGAGUGCGGCAGGGGAGAUUGGAAUUCCUGGUGUAGCGGUGGAAUGCGCAGAUAUCAGGAGGAACACCGAUGGCGAAGGCAGAUCUCUGGGCCGUAACUGACGCUGAGGAGCGAAAGCGUGGGGAGCGAACAGG
rnacentral:rRNA from 1 species